AGUAACUGCGAGUGAAGCGGCAAGAGCUCAAAUUUGAAAUCUGGCGUCUUUCGGCGUCCGAGUUGUAAUUUGGAGAGACAUCUUCGGAGAAGGGGCCGUUCUAAGUUCCUUGGAACAGGACGUCACAGAGGGUGAGAAUCCCGUGCUCGGGCGGCUACCCAUCUCCAUGUGAAGUGUCUUCGACGAGUCGAGUUGUUUGGGAAUGCAGCUCAAAAUGGGUGGUAAAUUUCAUCUAAAGCUAAAUAUUGGCGAGAGACCGAUAGCGCACAAGUAGAGUGAUCGAAAGAUGAAAAGCACUUUGAAAAGAGAGUUAAAAAGUACGUGAAAUUGUUGAAAGGGAAGCGCUCGAGACCAGACUCGACUUUCACCGAUCAGCCGUGCUUCUGUGCGGUGCACUCGGGGUUUGUCGGGCCAGCAUCGGUUCCGGCGGUGGGAUAAAAGGCGAUGGAAUGUGGCUCCCCUCGGGGAGUGUUAUAGCCAACGUCACAAUGCCACCAGCUGGGACCGAGGAACGCGCUUCGGCGAGGAUGCUGGCGUAAUGGUCUUUAGCGACCCGUCUUGAAACACGGACCAAGGAGUCUAACAUCUAUGCGAGUGUUCGGGUGUAAAACCCCUGCGCGAAAUGAAAGUGAACGGAGGUGGGAACCCGCAAGGGUGCACCAUCGACCGAUCCUGAUGUCUUCGGAAGGAUUUGAGUAGGAGCAUAGCUGUUGGGACCCGAAAGAUGGUGAACUAUGCCUGAAUAGGGUGAAGCCAGAGGAAACUCUGGUGGAGGCUCGCAGCGGUUCUGACGUGCAAAUCGAUCGUCAAAUUUGGGUAUAGG
rnacentral:rRNA from 1 species